rnacentral:lncRNA from 1 species
AUUAAACAUUUUCUUCCAUUCAAUUUGCUGAACUCUUAAUCUAUUAGGUUAUUUAUAACAUCACCCGGAUUUGUAUGGAUGAGAAUUACCACGAUUUUCUACUCAAGGUGGGAGAUUGAACAUCCUUAAAUUAUCUUUCAGGAAGCCACAAUCCAAGAUGAAGACCCAGAGAGGAGUGCGAAUCCUGCCCUUUCCACAGGAGCUUGGUGGGGCUGAAGGUCACAGUGGGCUGGCCUCUCCUUACUGCAGCAGCCAGGCACAUGACUCAGAGUAUCCCUUGGCAUGGCUACAAGGAUUGGUUCAGAAACGGGCACAUGGACCAGUUUCAGCCAAACCCUGACGGCCUCCUCUGAAAUGUUUCGGUUGGAGUUUGCCAUUUUCUUCUGGAGUUGCUACACAGAGAGGCUGGGGCUGGCAGCCAUGGAAGUCACCUUGGAGGGACACAGGCUGAAGAAGGAAGCCAAGCUAGAUCAGAAGAGGUGAGAGCUCACAUCUUAUACUGAGGAUGUGACAAGCCCCAGGACCUGACGGAACCACGCAAAUGUGGGAAAGAGCAUUUGAAGUGACAGACACCAAGCACCUGCCCCGUUUUUGGAAAGCAGAUUGUAAGUUGGAAAUUGUCUGCACUUUCAAGGAAGGAAAAAUUCGCAGUCUUUCCAGCUCCAAAUGCUGGCGUGGUGGAAGCUUCAUCUCUGACGAUGCAGAGCCUCCCUCACUCCCUCUUGGUGCAAUGGUAAGUUCUGUGGACCAGAGUGGAUCAGUUCCUUAGUCGACUGUCCGCUGGGGAGUCCUCUGGGAUUUCCAUAAACUGCAUUGGUCCCUUUUUAUUUUCUUACAGCAGUGAUAGUCUUAUUUGUUUAUUUUUUUCUUAUGGGUCCCUUGGAGUCUAGUGGCUGAAGGUCCCUAAGCUUGAGGCCAUACAGGGAUGUGGGGAUUUAGAGGGACACAGCCCAUGAGCCUCUGCCCAAGAAGUUGAACAGGUGAAGAGAAAACACGUGUGUGUGUGCGUGUGUGUGUGUGUGUGUGUGUGUGUGUGUGUUCCUUCUGAGCCCCAUGGAGGAUGAUGCACUUAAUCUUUCUUACUCUUAGCUCAGCUCAGGAGACCUUUCCACCCUCAAGGAAAUCCUUCCCUCUCUUGAUUUGUUAUAUUUUCCUCAGAGGCAGCCGCUUGAUCUCUUAAUAGGUUUAAGUUCUUGGAACCACAAAUCCCAGGAGAUUCCGCUGCUUAAAACCAUUCCCUGGGGCAGAGGGCCCCUGGGCUGCUCUUCACUUGGAUGAGAGGAGAGGGCGAGAUUUCCAUGAGGUCAAUUCAAAGAAAAUCGUGUCUCCAAAACAUUAUUUCGCCACAGGAACGGAAGAAUGAAGAGAGAUUAGCCACGGAGUAAGGCAUAAAUUGGGGCCGGACUGUGCAGCAGUACAUGAAUGAGAAAGUCCUUCAUUAGGGAAAAGCUGUCUGAGUUACCAUCUUUAACCAACCCCAUCUGAGUGCUUCUCUGUGCUGAGUGGGCGCGUCUGGUCCCACACCCCGUGGCCUUGAAGGAUGAUUCAAAGAUGCCCACUGCUCCUGUGUGGGCUUGGAGGGGCUGACCUCUCUUCCUUUGGUACCUACAGAUGUCACCUCAUCAGGAACCACCAUGUUGAAAGUGGGGCUGUGUCACCCUCCCCCAGUGGCAGGGAGUCUUUUAAGGUCUGCAUGGCUGAGACAAUAUGGUCGUAUAGGCUCCCUCAGUGGAACACGUGCAGGUUUGGAGGUUCUGCUGUUUUCUGUUCCUGUCACAAUCUACUACCAAUGGCAAACAUCCAAAAGGGUGAAAGGUGUUCAGAACAGGAUUAAAUGAUGUGCUGUCUUGUAGAUACGCCAUCACUGCUGUUCGCUGGACAGCUCUGAGCUUGAAGUUUCUUUUUUUUCUUUUUAGGGCUGUACCCGCAAGCAUAUGGAGGGUCCCAGACUAGGGAUUGAAUCGGAGCUGUAGCUGCUGGCCUACACCACAGCCACAGCAAUGCCGGAUCCUUAACCCACUGAGUGAGGCCAGGGAUCGAACCCGCAACCUCAUGGUUCCUAGUCGAAUUUGUUUCCCCUGCACCAGAAUGGGAACUCCUGAGCUUGAGUUUUCCAUGCAAAGAAGUGUUUCCUCCUCUUCUUGUCUGUUCCUCUCUCUUUAUCCGCCUGCUUCUUUCCUUUCCCCUUGGGAGACUAUUGACUAUGUUUCUGACCUGGUACCUUCUGUGAUGAUGGAACAUAUCACAGCCUGGGGCCUCUUUAAGACCGUGUCCCAGCUUGCCUGGUAUGAAAACGAACACCCGUCUUUCUCCCCUCCUUCAAUUUUCAGGUAUGCUGCAUUCAGAGCAUCUUCUUGGUACGAUAAGAAAAGAAUAAACAACAUAAAGGGGAAAAGUUCUUCUGACCUGCCUGUGUCCGUUGAUAAAACAGCAUUUAGUCCCAGGAUUUUGAAGGUUGUGAUGAUGAGGUUGAGGCAUUUGAAAAAAUGUUAAGCUGGCAACAGGGUCAUGGGACAUCAAAGCUGCUGUUUCAGGGGAGUCAUUAUACAGUUUUUAAAGCACUUUGUAGAUGUAUCUGUUAGUUCAUUUGGGCUUCGCAACAACCUACAGAAAUAGAUAAGACAGGUUUUUCCUGUUUUAUGAAUGAAGAGAUUGCAGCUAAGGGAUUUGCUUCAGGUCACAUAAGUAGUCAAUGGUAGACCUGGAACUUUAGCGCAAAUCUUCUGAUUCCAAGGCCUCUGAUGCACAGUGUUAACUAGAGGGACACAGAUUUAUUUCUUCAUUCAAGUCUUUGCUGGAUAAUCUUGUGUAAGUGGGUUAACACAAUAGACUAAUUUUGACAGAUUUCAUAUCCUUAAAAUGCCAGUAGUUUGGCUUAUAUGGUAACUGGGGUGCACACCUGUUGAAUUUGCCUUCUUAGCAUUCAGGUCCCUUAUUUCUGAUAACAAAAUGCUGAUUUUCCUCGGAGGACCAAACCUUCCCUGUUAUCUGUAGAUGUGGUGGGACAAUACCCUGUCUCCUCACCAGCCUAGGGCUGGGCAGGAUCUCUUGGCUCUGACUUGGGAAUUUGCAUCUUCAGCUGGUGACUUGAUGGGAAAAAUUUCCCCAUUCUAUGUCAGAAUCUCCCAGAGAUUUUAUUAGGUUUCUAUUACCUACAUCUUUGGAGACUUCCUGGUCCUAAUACUUUCUGAGGCCUGUUUGCUCAUAUCUUUCUUUGAUUUUAGGAACUUCUUCAAACCCUUCCAAGGAAUUCCUUUGGUGAUUAGGUUUGCCAGAUUGAUUUUAGUUAUUUACACCCCAAAGUCCCUAACUUAUGGACUUAUGAAAGAAAUCAAAAAGAGAAACAAUAUCUAUAUCUAGCUAGCUAGCUAGCUAGGUAAUUGUUGGUGGCAGGUUUAACUAUUGUCGGAUGUACUCCCUUUUCACGUUUCCAUAGAAGAAGUAAACUUUCUCAUUCUGUUAAUAUUGGACUUGGCCAUGUGAUUGUCUUUGGCUUCAGAGUGGGCAGAGAAUAUUUCCCUACCCCUUGAUCUUGGGUGUAAAAUGGGAUUUGAUUGGGCUAAUGAGAUAUUAGCAGGUAUGACUCAACAGAGGCUGGAAUUGCUCUUGCCUUCUGCUGUUGCCGUGAAAAGAACAUUCCCAGACUCAUCCAUAGGUUCCAGGAGAAGGAUGAGAAAUGCAAAGUGCAGAUCCACUCAGCUGAGCUGCCCCAGCCUAGAUCAGCAGAUCCCCAGCCAAUCCACAGAUACGUGAACUCAAUAAAUGUUUAUUGUUGCA